CCUACGGGAGGCAGCAGUAGGGAAUAUUGGGCAAUGGAGGCAACUCUGACCCAGCCAUGCCGCGUGCAGGAAGAAGGCGUUAUGCGUUGUAAACUGCUUUUAUAUAGGAAGAAAUAGACCUUGCGAGGUAAGUUGACGGUACUAUAUGAAUAAGCACCGGCUAACUCCGUGCCAGCAGCCGCGGUAAUACGGAGGGUGCAAGCGUUGUCCGGAUUUAUUGGGUUUAAAGGGUGCGUAGGCGGUUUAUUAAGUCAGUGGUGAAAGACGGUCGCUCAACGAUUGCAGUGCCAUUGAUACUGGUAGACUUGAGUGGGAUUGAGGUAGCUGGAAUGGAUAGUGUAGCGGUGAAAUGCAUAGAUAUUAUCCAGAACACCAAUUGCGUAGGCAAGUUACUAAGUCUCAACUGACGCUGAGGCACGAAAGUGUGGGUAUCAAACAGGAUUAGAUACCCUGGUAGUCCACACUGUAAACGAUGAUAACUAACUGUUGGCUUUCGAGUCAGUGGUACAGAGAAAUCGUUAAGUUAUCCACCUGGGGAGUACGCCGGCAACGGUGAAACUCAAAGAUAGUGCGNGNGAGAGACGACGACGACGACGAGGAGGGAGGAGG
rnacentral:rRNA from 1 species